UUAUUUAUUGUUUCUUAUAUUAUAUAUUUACUUAAUCUAAGUUUAUUACUUUUAUAUCUAAUGGUAAUAUAAUGAUAAAUGUUUAAUGUAAUAUUUCUAUUUUUAUACUGUAUAUUUAUUUAUUAUUUAUUUUAGUAUACAAUUUGCAGAUAGAUGUUCAAUGUAGUUUUUUUUAUUUCUUAUAUUGUAUAUUUAUUUAUUUUAAUAUUAUGAUAGAUUUUUAAUGUGAUAUUUAUAUUCCUUAUAUUGUUUUUUAUAUACAUUUUUAGAUAUAUAUUUAAUUUAGUUUUUCUAUUUUUCUAUUUUAUAUUUUUUUUCUUAUAUUGUAUAUAUACAUAUUCUAAUUUUCUUGCUAUAUAUCAAAUUAUAAUAACAUGAUUGAUGUUUAGUGACAUAUUUGCUUUUCUUAUAUUAUAUAUUUAUUUAGUAAUAUUUUUUUCUUAUAUUAUUAAAUUACUUAUUUUAAUAUUACUUUAGAUGCUUAAUGUAAUAUUUAUAUUCAUAUUUACUUACUAAUUAUUUUACUAUAGAUUUUUCAGAUCGAUGUGUAAUUUAGUUUUUUUUCCUGCUUUUAUAUUGAUUUUCAAAUGUUAUAUUAUUUAUUCUAAUUUUCUUCCUUUUAUAUCAAAUGAUAAUAUUAUAAUAGUCUUUUAAUGUAAUAUUUAUUAUUUAUUUUAUUAUACAUUUUGCAGAAAUAUUUUUAAU
rnacentral:lncRNA from 1 species